rnacentral:misc_RNA from 1 species
AAAGCAAUUUUAAAAAAAAGUUGUGUAAACGAUCUUACUAUUAUUGUUUUGCUUCCAAUUAUUUGUUUUAUUACUAAAAUUACCGCGUCUAUGUCCGUAAGAUGACUCGCGGUAACUUAAACGAACUUCCAUUGAAAACUCCCAACUCUCAAAACGCGAUUUAAUUGCACAAUUAAUGGGAUGUUUACAGAUUUUUUAUCAGUGUAGAUCAACAACAAGAUCUUUAAUCUAUUGAAAUGUUACCAAUUUUGAUGUAUAAUAACAUGGAAGGGGGUUCUAAUAGUUUAAAUAACACGCCUAAUUCUAGUUUUAGUCAGUACGAUGAUAAUAUAAUACUAAAUUGUGUGAGAAAUCGUAAAAAAGUGACGGAAUUACCGAGUUGCCCGGUAUGUAGUUGCACGAUAAGGCAGGGGGAAUUAGACUCUCAUUUAGCUCUAGAAGUGGAAAGAUUGCAGAAGUUAUCUAGUUGUGGGUCGAAAAGGAAGCUUAGUGUGAACUCUAGUGCAAAUUUAGCGGUUGCCGGGUCUAGUACGAGUGUGGAAGUGCCCGAGGAAGAAGUAGAAGUGGAUGUAUCUGGCUGUCUAGGAAGUGAUGUAUACCAGCGAGUACACUCGAACAGACUCCGGCGUCUCCGCGCCCGGCGCCGCAGCUCUCCCACUCCUCAGAGCGGGGAGUGUCCCGUCUGCAACGCUCGCCUACCCGUGUGCAGACUGCAGAGGCACGCACUACGCUGCCUGAAGAGAACUGGUGCUGCGCUGGAUGAGGAUGUCCCCGACACCAGCUCUGAAGACGAGAGCAUUGAUGUCGAGAACGACGAGCCUACAGGCGGCGCUUUCGGAGCAGAAUACCAGUGGUGCGGCGAGUGGCGGGUGAGAGCGACUGCCCUGCAGGACUCCGAAGCCAGGGCUGCGACUACAGUGCGCAGGGCUUCUAACGAUCAGGCAUUGGUGGUUGAUGGUGAUGAAGACACGGAGCUGUACGGCCCCCCACAAUAUUCUCCAUCAAGGAUAGCGCCAGAUGCAGACCUAACUCCUGUGACAACGGAGACGGAAGAAGAACCCAUAGACACACAAAAUGAGGUAGAGAACAAAACACCGGAGCCUGCUAGCAAGUGUAAUGGCUUAGUAGAAGCCAGUGCUGAAACUAGAAUUCAAGCAUUGAAAGCAAGAAUAAAAGACUUGGAAAGAAAGGCAAAUGGUGCUGGAGAGAUGAAAUGUCUGAUAUGCUUAGAGCAGUAUACCUCGCCUACCGUCUCCAUACAGUGCUGGCAUGUUUACUGCGAAGUAUGCUGGCUCCAAUCUCUAAGAGCAAAAAAAAUCUGCCCGCAGUGCAACGCCAUCACAACAGCCCAGCAUUUACGAAGAAUUUAUAUGUGAACAAAUUAUCUAUAAACUAUAGGUAGAGCUUACCACAAGUGUAUACAGAAUAUUGGGGUUGAUAACACCCUCUUGAAAAUGGUGUUAUAAAAUACUCCCAAAAAAGUCGGGGUGUGAAAUACCCUCUGAAAAUGUUGGGGUAAAAAUAACCCCAAGUAUGUUGGGGUGACAAUAUAUCCCGUGCAUUUUGAGGUAACAAAACAUCCCCAUUGAUUUUAGGGUUAAAAAAUACCCAUUGUAUGUUGGAGUUGUAGGUGAAAAAAGAUGGGGUACCAAAACACCCGUUGAAUAAAAUGCCAUAAUACUACGAAGUGGUGAGCUGGAGUUUUGGGGGUACAGUCCUUUUUCGAUUUCGACUUUGAGACCUUGAAAUAAAGUUGGAUUAAUAUAACCUAUUUAUAUAAUACCCCAAAAUGGAGGGUAACAAAAUACCCUAUGCAUUUUAAGGUUAUCAAAUCCCAAUCUGUAUUGAGAGUUUGUAAUUAUAUUGGAGUUGCAGAGGACCCCAGAUAUUGCGGGGUAGAAAAUACCCCAUCUUUGUUGGGGAUUUUAUAAUACCCUACAUAAAGUUGGGUACCAAAAUACCCCAAAUGAAAUAGGUGUUAAAGCAGUUUUGACUGGUUGUAAGAAUAUAAACGUUCUGCAAGGAUUUAGAUAGGAUAGAAAGAUUUGCUCAAAUAAUUUGAGUCAAGAAAGUAUAAGUCUGAUUAUAAAAUUCAUUUUUCCUAAUUA